AUACGUAGGGUGCGAGCGUUGUCCGGAAUUACUGGGCGUAAAGAGCUCGUAGGUGGUUUGUCGCGUCGUCUGUGAAAUUCCGGGGCUUAACUCCGGGCGUGCAGGCGAUACGGGCAUAACUUGAGUACUGUAGGGGAGACUGGAAUUCCUGGUGUAGCGGUGAAAUGCGCAGAUAUCUGGAGGAACACCGGUGGCGAAGGCGGGUCUCUGAGCAGUAACUGACGCUGAGGAGCGAAAGCAUGGGUAGCGAACAGGAUUAGAUACCCUGGUAGUCCAUGCCGUAAACGGUGGGCGCUAGGUGUAGGGGUCUUCCACGACUUCUGUGCCGUAGCUAACGCAUUAAGCGCCCCGCCUGGGGAGUACGGCCGCAAGGCUAAAACUCAAAGGAAUUGACGGGG
rnacentral:rRNA from 1 species